GGGGCUGUAGUCCAGCUUGGUUAAGAUUCCAGGUUUGGGACCUGGCGACGGGGGUUCAAAUCCUCCCAGCCCCA
rnacentral:tRNA from 1 species